GGGCCGGUGGUGAAAUGGUAUACACGCAAGUUUUAGGAACUUGUCCCGUAAGGGGUGGAGGUUCGACUCCUCUCCGGCCCACCA
rnacentral:tRNA from 1 species